rnacentral:rRNA from 1 species
UGCCAGCCGCCGCGGUAAUACGAACUGCGCGAACGUUAUUCGGAAUCACUGGGCUUAAAGGGUGCGUAGGCGGCGAUGUAGGUGGGGUGUGAAAUCCCUCGGCUCAACCGAGGAACUGCGCUCCAAACCACGUUGCUUGAGGAAGUCAGAGGUAAGCGGAACUGAUGGUGGAGCGGUGAAAUGCGUUGAUAUUAUCAGGAACACCGGUGGCGAAAGCGGCUUACUGGGACUUUUCUGACGCUGAGGCACGAAAGCUAGGGGAGCGAACGGGAUUAGAUA